GGAGUAGGAACCGUGCGUUAAGUACCGGCUGGAUGGGAGGUUGCCACCGGGCGAAGGACUUUCGCGAGUCCGCGAUACGGUUACCGCAACCGCCU
rnacentral:ncRNA from 1 species